rnacentral:rRNA from 1 species
UACGUAGGGGGCAAGCGUUGUCCGGAAUCAUUGGGCGUAAAGCGCGUGUAGGCGGCCCGAUAAGUCCGCUGUGAAAGUCCAGGGCUCAACCCUGGAAUGCCGGUGGAUACUGUCGGGCUCGAGUCCGGAAGAGGCGAGUGGAAUUCCUGGUGGUAGCGGUGAAAUGACGCAGAUAUCAGGAGGAACACCAAUGGCGAAGGCAGCUCGCUGGGACGGUACUGACGCUGAGGCGCGAAAGCGUGGGGAGCAAACAGG